rnacentral:rRNA from 1 species
ACCUAUGGCCCUACCACCCUGAUUCAUCUGAUCUCAGAAGCUAAGCAGGGUCGGGCCUGGGUAGUACUUGGAUGGGAGGUUAAGGUAUUCACAUCCUACAUGGGAACUCCUGGGUUUGAUUUC